CUCUGACUGACUCCAGAGCUAACUGUUGGCCUUUCUUCCCAACCCCGUAUUAAGUGACUUCAUGUUGGUAGCUUAAAAUUGGCCAUGGUAGAAAUAUAAGUCAACAAACAGUACAGAUCAGUCCUUCUCCCCAAAUUGGCUGUUACAUAUCUAUCAGCGUAUUACUGACAUGGAUGGUAGAAACUAGGGGAGUGAAUUCUCUCCCAUUGUGACCCUACUGGGCAUUUGAGCCUGGUUCAAGAAAGGCCUCAAGGACUUUGCAGGCACUACAUUCUUUUAUGGCUGGAAUAUUGCUGAGGGCUCUGGGUUCUAUACUUUGGUGGAGAGGCUGAUAAGGAGAAAGGUGGAGUGAGGAGUGACAAGCUAUGAUGGGUCACUUUAGGUCUCAGUUGGUGAGAUAAAAUGAGAGGCCGGUGCCAGAAGAAAGGCCUUCCCUUCCUUGGCUUCUCUAGUUCAGUAGAAGCUGGUCAGGCGCGGCAGGGUGGAGAAGUAAGGGAAGAUCACUUGGAGAGAUUGAGGACCGCUGUGGUCCUGUGAGCUGUCCUUCCCCUCUCCACCACCAGAAGGCGCUCUUGCGCGGUCUCCAGAACCAUCGCACCAAUCCCACUUGGCGACGCUCUAGUCGCCGCUUCUCUAAGGACGGCGGGGCGGCCUCGGUGCGCGCAUCCUGUGGGUGCGGGUUAUGGCGCGGCUCCCGAAGCUCGCGGUCUUCGAUCUGGAUUACACGCUCUGGCCGUUCUGGGUGGACACGCAUGUGGACCCCCCGUUCCACAAGAGGAGUGAUGGAACUGUACGCGACAGGCGGGGGCAGACGGUCCGGCUGUACCCGGAGGUGCCUGAGGUCCUGGAACGGUUGCAGGGCUUGGGUGUACCCGUCGCGGCCGCCUCACGGACAGGUGAGGUUGAAGGGGCCAAUCAGCUAUUGGAGCUCUUUGACCUUGUCAGAUACUUUGUUCAUCGGGAAAUCUAUCCAGGCAGCAAGAUCACACACUUCGAGAGGUUGCAGCGGAAGACUGGAGUUCCUCUCUCCCAGAUGAUCUUCUUUGAUGAUGAGAGGCGGAAUAUUGUAGACGUCAGCAAACUGGGUGUUACUUGCAUUCAUGUCCAGAACGGAAUGAACCUUCAGAUCCUAACCCAAGGAUUAGAGACAUUUGCAAAGGCCCAAGCUGGACCCUGAAGCCCAAUCUUGUGAAUGAACCUCAUUUGAGGCAUAGAACCGCAGGAACACCAGGAGGGCAUUUUCAGGUGCAUUUGUAAAUUAUUAAAGUGAAUUUCUGUGUGACAGAAGAGAUCUAGCCAGUGUGGGUUGUUUCUGCUUUUUUUAGACUGUGACCUGGGGUGGGCGACUGGGAGGUUCCUGGACCGGAGUGUGACGCGUUAGACCGCAUCAGGUCCUGCCUUAUGAACUUGUGGCAAACCCAAGAACAUGAUCGCUUUGUACCCAUCCAUCCCCACCCCUCUCCGGAGCUCUGUCAAGGGCGUGAAGAACUCUUCCACUGGCCCCAAGCAGUGGGCUGCAUUACCCGGCACAUUAACCUCCAGGAAACAAAGACUUUGUUUUGGGGUGGGGGUUGGGCGGCCCUUUAUGUCGUGGGAAACCCAGCUGCCGCUUUAAGAGGAGCACGUGGCUUUGAGGCUGGUGUCUCACACGUGAUAGCAGUGGCCUCGCUAGCGCUAGUUGAUGAUGUCGCCGCGGUGCCCAAGGAGGGAUUGGCCGAGGCGGGUCUCGAAGUCGUGAGCCCCGCCCUCCCGGGAGCGAGGCGGAAGCGCGCGGGCGGCCGUGGGGCGGAGGCGGGAGAGGCGAGGGUCGCGAUGAGUGGUCUCGGCCGACUCUUCGGGAGGGGGAAAAAGGAGAAGGGGCCAACCCCUGAAGAAGCAAUACAGAAACUGAAGGAGACGGAGAAGAUACUGAUCAAGAAACAGGAGUUUCUGGAGCAGAAGAUUCAGCAGGAGCUACAAACCGCCAAGAAGCAUGGGACCAAGAAUAAGAGAGCUGCCCUACAGGCUUUGCGGAGAAAGAAAAGGUUGGAACAGCAGCUGGCACAAACCGACGGGACAUUAUCCACCCUGGAGUUUCAGCGUGAGGCCAUUGAGAAUGCUACCACCAAUGCAGAAGUGCUUCGUACCAUGGAGCUUGCUGCCCGAGGCAUGAAGAAGGCCUACCAGGACAUGGACAUUGACAAGGUGGAUGAACUGAUGGCUGACAUCACAGAACAACAGGAGGUGGCCCAGCAGAUCUCAGAUGCCAUUUCUCGGCCCAUGGGCUUUGGAGAUGAUGUGGAUGAGGAUGAACUGUUGGAGGAGCUAGAGGAACUGGAGCAGGAGGAAUUGGCCCGAGAGUUGUUACAUGUGGGCGACAAGGAGGAAGAACCCCCAGUCACGCUGCCCAGUGUACCCUCCACACACCUGCCUGCAGUGCCAGCUCCCAAAGCGGAUGAAGAUGAAGAAGCACUAAAGCAGUUGGCCGAGUGGGUGUCCUGAUGAGUCUGGGCUUGUCUACCCGAUGCUGCCUUUGUUGUUCGCUUUUCCUUAAGUGCCAAGUGCUCAGCUAGAGGAACGUGAACAUGGCCUGGUUGGGAGGUCCUCCUGGGGGUGGUGGCGUGACCCUGCCUGAGAAAAGGGUCCUUGGCUCAACUCUGAAGAGGGAUCUUGGUGUGGGAGGAGCCCCGGCUCCCUUGGCUAGCAGUUACAAUGCCUCGUUCCCAAUAAAACUGGGCAGAUGGAACCCCA